AUGAUUACUAGUGCACCUCACAUAUUAUUGGCUCGGCCCUUUCAAGCCUACAAUGGAUCAUGCCUUUCACUUGUUGAAUCGAUGUCUAGCCUUUUGCCCUUGGAAUCAGGCUGUGAGUUUGGCUGGAGGUGUAUUAGUGCGGUCAUUGAUGUUUUCACCAUUGGUGGGACAAUUUCUUUAUCACAGCAUGAAUCACUGUACCAUGUGAUUUUGGAGAAUAUAAUAAUUGUUUCUCUCUUUCACCAUUGGUGGGACAAUUUCUUUAUCACAGCAUGA